rnacentral:tRNA from 5 species
GCCCGAUGAGCCAGAUGGGAAGGCGCCGCCGUGACAUGGCGGGAUUGAGAAGGUUCGAUUCCUUCAUCAGGCACCA